CCACCGCGUGAGUGAUGAAGGCUUUCGGGUCGUAAAACUCUUUUGUUAGGGAAGAACAAGUGCUAGUUGAAUAAGCUGGCACCUUGACGGUACCUAACCAGAAAGCCACGGCUAACUACGUGCCAGCAGCCGCGGUAAUACGUAGGUGGCAAGCGUUAUCCGGGAAUUAUUGGGCGUAAAGCGCGCGCAGGUGGUUUCUUAAGUCUGAUGUGAAAGCCCACGGCUCAACCGUGGAGGGUCAUUGGAAACUGGGAGACUUGAGUGCAGAAAAGGAAAGUGGAAUUUCCAUGUGUAGCGGUGAAAUGCGUAAAGAUAUGGAGGAACACCAGUGGCGAAGGCGACUUUCUGGUCUGUAACUGACACUGAGGCGCGAAAGCGUGGGGAGCAAACAGGAUUAGAUACCCUGGUAGUCCACGCCGUAAACGAUGAGUGCUAAGUGUUAGAGGGUUUCCGCCCUUUAGUGCUGAAGUUAACGCAUUAAGCACUCCCCCUGGGGAGUACGGCCGCAAGGCUGAAACUCAGAUGAAUU
rnacentral:rRNA from 1 species